CUCAGGAUGAACGCUGGCGGCGUGCCUAAUACAUGCAAGUCGAGCGAACAGAUAAGGAGCUUGCUCCUUUGACGUUAGCGGCGGACGGGUGAGUAACACGUGGGUAACCUACCUAUAAGACUGGAAUAACUUCGGGAAACCGAAGCUAAUGCCGGAUAACAUGUAGAACCGCAUGGUUCUACAGUGAAAGAUGGCYUUGCUAUCACUUAUAGAUGGACCCGCGCCGUAUUAGCUAGUUGGUAAGGUAACGGCUUACCAAGGCAACGAUACGUAGCCGACCUGAGAGGGUGAUCGGCCACACUGGAACUGAGACACGGUCCAGACUCCUACGGGAGGCAGCAGUAGGGAAUCUUCCGCAAUGGGCGAAAGCCUGACGGAGCAACGCCGCGUGAGUGAUGAAGGUCUUCGGAUCGUAAAGCUCUGUUAUUAGGGAAGAACAAGUGCGUAAGUAACUGUGCGCACCUUGACGGUACCUAAUCAGAAAGCCACGGCUAACUACGUGCCAGCAGCCGCGGUAAUACGUAGGUGGCAAGCGUUAUCCGGAAUUAUUGGGCGUAAAGCGCGCGUAGGCGGUUUCUUAAGUCUGAUGUGAAAGCCCACGGCUCAACCGUGGAGGGUCAUUGGAAACUGGGAGACUUGAGUGCAGAAGAGGAAAGUGGAAUUCCAUGUGUAGCGGUGAAAUGCGCAGAGAUAUGGAGGAACACCAGUGGCGAAGGCGACUUUCUGGUCUGUAACUGACGCUGAUGUGCGAAAGCGUGGGGAUCAAACAGG
rnacentral:rRNA from 1 species